rnacentral:rRNA from 1 species
GACGAACGCUGGCGGCGUGCUUAACACAUGCAAGUCGAACGGAAAGGCCCUGCUUGCAGGGUACUCGAGUGGCGAACGGGUGAGUAACACGUGGGUGAUCUGCCCUGCACUUCGGGAUAAGCCUGGGAAACUGGGUCUAAUACCGGAUAGGAGCCAUUUUUAGUGUGAUGGUUGGAAAGUUUUUUCGGUGUAGGAUGAGCUCGCGGCCUAUCAGCUUGUUGGUGGGGUAAUGGCCUACCAAGGCGGCGACGGGUAGCCGGCCUGAGAGGGUGGACGGCCACAUUGGGACUGAGAGACGGCCCAGACUCCUACGGGAGGCAGCAGGGGGGAAGAUUGCACAAUGGGCGCAAGCCUGAUGCAGAGACGCCGCGUGGGGGAUGACGGCCUUCGGGUUGUAAACUCCUUUCGCUAGGGACGAAGCUUUUUGUGACGGUACCUAGAUAAGAAGCACCGGCUAACUACGUG